UACAGAGGUCUCAAGCGUUGUUCGGAUUCAUUGGGCGUAAAGGGUGCGUAGGCGGCGCGGUAAGUCGGGUGUGAAAUCUCGGAGCUUAACUCCGAAACUGCAUUCGAUACUGCCGUGCUUGAGGACUGGAGAGGAGACUGGAAUUUACGGUGUAGCGGUGAAAUGCGUAGAUAUCGUAAGGAAGACCAGUGGCGAAGGCGAGUUUCUGGACGGUAACUGACGCUGAGGCACGAAGGCCAGGGGAGCAAACGGG
rnacentral:rRNA from 1 species